rnacentral:rRNA from 1 species
UUUUUUGAUGUUAAAWAUAUUUUCCYGGGUAGUAUUAGUUAUGUUCUUGAAACCUAAAGAAUUUGGCGGUAUUUUAUUCCUUUCAGAGGAAUCUGCCCUUUAAUCGAUGAUCCGCGUUGGACCUUACUUAUUUUUUUUUAUUUGUAUACCGCCGUUAUAGUGAAGAUCUUUUUAGUGUUUUAAUUUUCUUGUUUCGUUAAUUUGAUUUAUUUCAGGUCAAGGUGCAGUUUGUUUUUAAGUGUGAGGUGGAUUACAUUAUAUUUAUGAUUUUGGAUUAUCAGUUGAAAUUUUUGAUAUGAAAUUGGAUUUGAUUGUAAUUUAUUGUAGAUUGUUUUUAARAWAKKGGUUCNAAAAURKSY